rnacentral:rRNA from 1 species
AUUGAACGCUGGCGGCAGGCUUAACACAUUCAAGUCGAGCGAGCGGCGGACGGGUGAGUAAUGUCUGGGAAACUGCCUGCUGGAGGGGGAUAACUACUGGAAACGGUAGCUAAUACCGCAUACCAUCAGAUGUGCCCAGAUGGGAUGAGCUAGUAGGUGGGGUAAUGGCUCACCUAGGCGACGAUCCCUAGCUGGUCUGGUAGGAUGAACAGCAACACUGUAAAUGGGACACGGUGCAGACUCCUACGGGAGGCAGGAGUGGUGAAUAUUGAACAAUGGGCGCAAGCCUGAUGCAGCCAUGCCGCGUGUGUGAAGAAGGCCUUCGGGUUGUAAAGCACUUUAAGCGAGGAGGCGUUACUCGCAGAAGAAGCACCGGCUAACUCCGUGCCAGCAGCCGCGGUAAUUC